rnacentral:rRNA from 1 species
AACACAUGCAAGUCGAGGGGAAACGAUAGAGAAAGCUUGCUUUUUCUAGGCGUCGACCGGCGCACGGGUGAGUAACGCGUAUCCAACCUGCCCAUCACUUGGGGAUAACCUUGCGAAAGUAAGACUAAUACCCAAUGAUAUCUCAAGAAGACAUCUGAAAGGGAUUAAAGAUUUAUCGGUGAUGGAUGGGGAUGCGUCUGAUUAGCUUGUUGGCGGGGUAACGGCCCACCAAGGCGACGAUCAGUAGGGGUUCUGAGAGGAAGGUCCCCCACAUUGGAACUGAGACACGGUCCAAACUCCUACGGGAGGCAGCAGUGAGGAAUAUUGGUCAAUGGGCGAGAGCCUGAACCAGCCAAGUAGCGUGCAGGAAGACGGCCCUAUGGGUUGUAAACUGCUUUUAUAAGGGAAUAAAGUGAGCCUCGUGAGGCUUUUUGCAUGUACCUUAUGAAUAAGGACCGGCUAAUUCCGUGCCAGCAGCCGCAGUAAUACGGAAGGUCCGGGCGUUAUCCGGAUUUAUUGGGUUUAAAGGGAGCGUAGGCCGGAGAUUAAGCGUGUUGUGAAAUGUAGAUGCUCAACAUCUGCACUGCAGCGCGAACUGGUUUCCUUGAGUACGCACAAAGUGGGCGGAAUUCGUGGUGUAGCGGUGAAAUGCUUAGAUAU